rnacentral:tRNA from 1 species
GCCUGGGUGGCUCAGUUGGUUAAGCACCUGACUUCGAUUCAGGUCAUGAUCUCAUAGUUCGUGAGUUCGAGCCCCCGGCU